AAGUAAGAAUAAAUAAAUCUUAUGAGGAACUCAUCUCGAAUUCCUCCUAAGAUAAGGACUUUCCCGUAAACCUGGACAAUCCCGUGUGACAAAAAGAAAUUUGGUCACCUAAGUUAUUAUAAGUGAGUUAUGCGGACUCCCCAGACAACAAAAUUAAACCUAUAACACUAAGUUAAGGCAUACUAAUGUUUAUAAUAA